UAACUUGAAAAUCAAGUCUAAAUUUAAAAAUCUAUCCAAACUCAAAAAAUGAAUUGGCUCAAACCGAAACUAACUGAAAUAGAGUAGUUCGGUUCGGUUCAAUUUUUUAUUCAUUUUAGUUCGAUUUUUAAAAUAUAAUAAUUCGAUUAAUUCGGUUUUGAUGAUUUGGUUCGAUUUGGUUUCGUUUGAACCGAAUACUCAGCCCUAGCGAUAAUUCCUUGCUUCUUGUGAAAUGCUAAAUAUUUCUGAAGUACUGAGCAUAGAAAUGUGUUUUGAUUUUUCACUAACAAUACAGCAACCACUGGCGAGGCAGCAA
rnacentral:misc_RNA from 1 species